CGCACACGAUGCCAAAUGGCCUAGGACAAAAACAAAAGGCCUGGCUUGCUCCAAAGUUUCAGUGAGAAACUUUGAGUUACUUCCUGUGCUUGGGUUUUCUUUGAGUAGGAACUAUGCGAGCAUUUUAGCAGCGUCACCAUCGAGUCCGGAACCCAGCAAAAAAAAACCCCUUUUAUAGAAUGAUGUCGCCCCUCUUUAUAGGAAGUCCUUCAGGAUUAAGGUGGAUUUCGUGGCAAUUAGUGAACUGUUCAGUUAUGUCAAUAUCAAUCCGUUAGAGAGAAUUUUCCCCAUAUAUUGUGGAGACCAAUUUAGCUAGGUGUCAAAUCUAAGAGAAACCGGUGGAUUUGUCUUGUAGUUGGGUCUCUUGCAUCCGUCGACUUGGAGUGGUCCCUGUGAGUAUUAGCCGACGAUCUUCGCGUGUGGGGGGUACUCGACAGGAUUUCAAGCAUUCCGCUACCCCUAUAUUGUUUUAACGGAUAUAAGCUGGCAUUCUUCCCAACUUUGGUUUUGGCUGGAGGAUCAUCAUUUUGAUGGGUUAAUAUGCAGUCCAAUUGAGCUGAUAUGUAGUUGUUGCCGGUUGUGUCAUUUACUGCAGGAUAACGGUGCGGGUUCACGCACUGAUGCGAAUUGGCCGGUUCGUUAUAGUCCCGUGGCAAACACUUGAUUUUUAGUCAACCUAUCCAAAACAUGGAAACACGGUCCUUCAAAAAUCAAUGUUGUUAUCUUAGGGUCUAUGUUAUUGCUGAUACAUGUAGUGUGUCAGUCGACUAGCACGCAUCCCAGGUUCAUAUGUUGGUUUCACCGGAGACCUUAUAUGCAUAUUCCGCUGUUUGAAACUGUUGCGGUAGCUGGGACCAUUGCUGCUAAGGUAUUGACUUUAAGAGUUGUUGCUAGAUGUUUGUUAUAGGUUUCGUUUGUGCAGUUUGGCUGCAGUUGGUUCGCAUGUCUCGGUGUUUUCCGGUUGCAGUUGGGAGUGUUGUCGUUAGCAUCUUCAUUUGAUUACUACCAUGCUACUUGUUGGGUUAUUUUGCAGCCAUUUCGAAUAUGCUGCCUGCUUCUAUCGGAGGUCCAUUGACAGGUUCCUGAGGUUUGUAGCAAGUGAAUGCUGUACAUUUUUUAGAUUCCUUGGAUGAUCCUUUACCAGCAGAAAGUUUGUACUAACUUCAUAACCGUAAGUGUGAAGAAUACUAGCAGGUUAUGGCUCUCCACGGGCAUCAUAGGAAGCCACUCGUUCACUGCUAGCUCCGAUAGCUUAGCAUAAUACCGUCAUCUUUGAAGGCUACCGAAGGAAUAGUAACUUUGGAAGAAAAGCAAAGCAUAUGUCAUGAUGAAACGAAAAAAAGAUCCUGACACAUGAAAGGGUGGUAGAGCAUGGUUUGUGAUAUGUAAUAUUUAAAAUAUGACAUGUAAUGCUUUAGACCUAUAGGUGCCCACUUGCCUUAAUGCAAAACUUAACGCAACAACGUAAUUAUCGUGGCCCACCUGGUAAUGAUGAAAGAACUACACAACUUGUUU